UUAUGGCUCAGGAUGAACGCUGGCGGCGUGCUUAACGACACGCAAGUUGUGCGGUGAUCUCAAGAAGUUUCGGACGGAAAGGGAGAGCAGCAGCGGACGGGUGAGUAAAGCACAAGGACUUGUCCCGAAGAGGGGGACAACUGUGGGAAACCACAGCUAAUACCCCAUAAGCCGAGAGGUGAAAGCAGUAAUGCGCUUUAGGAGAGACUUGUGUCCUAUCAGGUAGUUGGUGAGGUAACGGCUCACCAAGCCGAAGACGGGUAGCCGGACUGAGAGGUUGUACGGCCACAUUGGAACUGAGAGACGGUCCAGACUCCUACGGGAGGCAGCAGUGGGGAAUAUUGGGCAAUGGGGGCAACCCUGACCCAGCGACGCCGCGUGAGGGAAGACAGCCUUCGGGUUGUAAACCUCUGUUGCAGGGGAAGAAGAAAGUGACGGUACCCUGCGAGGAAGCUCCGGCAAACUACGUGCCAGCCGCCGC
rnacentral:rRNA from 1 species